rnacentral:lncRNA from 1 species
CGAGAACCCAGAUGCUUGAUGGGGAAAAUUGGGCAUCAAGGUGUUGAUCAUGAGGGUGUUUUUGAGAUUGGUGCUCCUCCUCUCAUAAAGCUUGAAGCCUUGCUUUUUGGGAGGGGCUGUUUUGAUUGGUGGGAUGUUGAAGCUUUUGUUGGAGGAGGGUAAAACGGUUGGAUCUUGAUGGCUGUGAGGAUGAUGGUGAUGAUGGGUUGUGGUUGGUUUGGGGGAAGAUUGGUGGCUUACAGUUUCAGAGGAGCCUGUGAGC